rnacentral:rRNA from 1 species
UACGCCCGAUCUCGUCCGAUCUCGGAAGCUAAGCAGGGUCGGGCCUGGUUAGUACUUGCAUGGAAGACCGCCUGGGAAUACCAGGUGCUGUAAGCUU